rnacentral:rRNA from 1 species
GACGAACGCUGGCGGCGUGCUUAACACAUGCAAGUCGAACGGAAAGGCCCUGCUUUUGUGGGGUGCUCGAGUGGCGAACGGGUGAGUAACACGUGAGUAACCUGCCCUUGACUUUGGGAUAACUUCAGGAAACUGGGGCUAAUACCGGAUAGGAGCUCCUGCUGCAUGGGGGGGGUUGGAAAGUUUCGGCGGUUGGGGGUGGACUCGCGGCUUAUCAGCUUGUUGGUGGGGUAGUGGCUUACCAAGGCUUUGACGGGUAGCCGGCCUGAGAGGGUGACCGGCCACAUUGGGACUGAGAUACGGCCCAGACUCCUACGGGAGGCAGCAGUGGGGAAUAUUGCACAAUGGGCGGAAGCCUGAUGCAGCAACGCCGCGUGCGGGAUGACGGCCUUCGGGUUGUAAACCGCUUUCGCCUGUGACGAAGCGUGAGUGACGGUAAUGGGUAAAGAAGCACCGGCUAACUACGUG